rnacentral:rRNA from 1 species
GAUGAACGCUGGCGGCGUGCUUAACACAUGCAAGUCGAACGAUGAAGCCCAGCUUGCUGGGUGGAUUAGUGGCGAACGGGUGAGUAACACGUGAGUAACCUGCCCUUAACUCUGGGAUAAGCCUGGGAAACUGGGUCUAAUACCGGAUAGGAGCGUCCACCGCAUGGUGGGUGUUGGAAAGAUUUAUCGGUUUUGGAUGGACUCGCGGCCUAUCAGCUUGUUGGUGAGGUAAUGGCUCACCAAGGCGACGACGUGUAGCCGGCCUGAGAGGGUGACCGGCCACACUGGGACUGAGACACGGCCCAGACUCCUACGGGAGGCAGCAGUGGGGAAUAUUGCACAAUGGGCGCAAGCCUGAUGCAGCGACGCCGCGUGAGGGAUGACGGCCUUCGGGUUGUAAACCUCUUUCAGUAGGGAAGAAGCGAAAGUGACGGUACCUGCAGAAGAAGCACCGGCUAACUACGUG